GGGGAGGCUGGGGAGGCUGGGGAGCCAUGGCAGCCCGAUGCAGUGCGGGUCUCCAGGUGGAGGGGCCCUGGUCCCCUGGCGCCAGCGUGGCCCUUCCUCCUUGUGGAGACCCUUGUGGUGUGUGUGCUCUCUCGCCCUGACCCAGGAGAGCAGCAUGGCGGACCCUGAUCUUGUGGCGUGCCACCGAGCGAGGCCGAGGAGCUCCGCAGCCCAGUGCGCGUGGCGUCCUUGUCGCGGCUCUGUGGAGACCUGGCGAUGGAGAGCAGCAUGGCGGACCCCUGAUCUUGUGGCGUGCCACCGCGCGAGGCCGAGGAGCUCCCGCAGCCCAGUGGGCGUGGCGUCCUUGUCGCGGCUCUGUGGAGACCUGGCGAUGGUGAGCGGCCCCUGUCCUCAGUGGUGGAGAACUCGCCCUUGGGGCGCUCGUCUGUCCGGAGCCCCGGGCCAGCCCCGCUUCUCGCGGGCUUUGGCCCCGGCAGGCCAGCUCCGGGGGCGUGAGGGGGAGCGUCCCGUCCUGCCCAGUGGCUCGUCUGUCUGGGCACGCCCCCAAACGCUGCCGUGAUGGAGCGGGUGGGAUGUCCAGGUGCGGAGGCCGUGAAUUUGCCUUGCGGCGGCGGAGCCCGUGCUCGGAUCGAUGAUGACUCCCUCUAAAGCAUUCCUUGGAAAUCUGAACAAAAUGAGUGAGAACUCACUACCGUCUCCUCAUCGAAACUGAGGUCCGGCACGUGGCGGCCACCGGGGGCUCGGGGGUAGAUGGGCCCUUGGCCUUGGGGCCUCUGGUGUCAGCAGCCACUCGGGUGAGGUCUGGGGAAGGCGGCCGCCUGCCGGGCCCAGGAAGCAUGGGGCCCGUCGCCCGGCGCUGGCCUCGGGGGAGAGGCCGCGUGCCCGAGCGUGCUGGAGAUCCCGGGCGGCCUCCCGCCGGCCUUGGGGGGUUUCGCAAGCCGUCGCGGGGGCCGAAAUUUGGGCCCGGCCCGCGAGGCAAGUGUGCGGCCCUAGGGCCCCAGGGGGCGUCCUGGCCCAGGCCGGGCCCUUCUCAGGAUGCUGUGGGGAGACGGGAUCCCGGCAGGGUAGUGUUCUCUUUCUGCUCUGGGGACCCCUGAGGGCCACCUGCUGCAGGGGGUCUGUGGUAGCGGGGGCCCUUGGAUCAGGGCCGUCCCCCAUGGGAGGGGGGCAGCCUGGGAACCCCUGAGGGCGCUCCCCUGGGACGUCCAGGGAUGUUGGGGCGGAGGCUGGGGCUGGGUGGCGAGAAGGGGGCAGCUGAAGUGGUGAGCGACAGGCGGGCAGAGGGAGCCUGCCGGGGACGUGGGUGGACAGGCCCACGUCUGGAUGGGCGAGGGGCUCUGGAGGAGGUGCCCUGGCCUCAAGUGGGAUGGCGUCAGCGGCUGUGGGAGGCCCGGGUAGGGAAGGACCGCGCGGGCAGGGGCGGGACGGUCUUGCAGGUGGCCUCUCCUCUGGGAGGCGUGGCUCCCCGUGGGGGUCUGGGGAAGGCAGCCGCCAGGUCCCUGGGCCGCGGCGCGGACCGCACCUUGGGGGGGGUCCUUUGGGAGGCCACGGGUCGGAGU
ensembl:lncRNA